AUGGAGCCGGCGACCAAGCAGGACCUGAAGGAUCUCCUGAAGGAGUUCCGAGAGAGCAUGAAGGAGAGCAUCAGGGAGGCUGUCGCGGUCGGGUUCGGCAACUCGAAGCCGGCACUCGAGCAGGCGACCACCUCGACCUCUUCUCAGUUCCUUGCCAUGGACGCCUCCGAUGACAAGGAUCUGGCACCUGCGUGCUCCAGCCCCGAACAGGGCACGCACGCCCUCGACUUCGCCCCAACGACCACCAUCGACGUCCUUCCCGGGCUCGACAUUGACGCCACGGGCGUUGCUGCACCAACGCCCACAACCUGCUCGACGGAUGGCCUCAUCCACAGCACCGAUGGAGACGAUAGGAUAGAGGCGUCGAAGGCUGCUUGGGGUUCGCCUACGCCCUUCACCGCGCGUCCAGGGGACUCGCCAACACCAAUGAGUGAGCCAUCUCUCGGCCUUGCACUCGGUGCGCUGGCGCAGACCAAGUGUUUGACAGAAUGCUCAGGUCAAGUUGAUGCGUCCGUCACGGCCAGUGUUAUCUUAGCGACUGCUGGCUGCAUGCCCACUACCUGUUCGACCGAGUGGGUCACCCAUGCUGACAGUCGCAUCAUCGACUUGUCGUCAACAACCCUACCCAUUCGGCUCGCAGCUACAGCGGUGCAUCGUUCGUGGGUGCAGACAGUGCCACCGCACCCACCGGACCUGAGGUUAUUUUUUUGGUGGGACCAUGGGUGUCUAAUGAGUGGCCGUGGUGAUUUGGAAAGAGUGAUUCAUCCUAGCCCAAAUGAAAGUUUAUGCACAAGGCAAUGUCAAGAGGUAAAACUCUCGUGUCUGUUUCAUGGGAUGUCUAUUUCUUGGCAAUGGUUGGUACACUGGCUAGUCUAUGGAGUUGAUUUACGUCAAAUUCCGUGUCCAUCAUUUUCAAAUGGUGAGCCACCAGAUGUGGAUUGUUCCAGUGUUGCCAAUUGGGACCCCCAUGUGCCUAUUUCUGUUGAUGACAAGUUCCUGAAGCAUCUGUUUCUAAGUGUUCAAGUGCAUGACAGUGGAAUGGUUGUAGUUCCCUCUCUGACCUUGAUACCACUCCUUACUGUACUUGAGGCACCAUUCACAAUCCAUGGAGGGUUUCUUCUCAUAGAUGGCCUCUGGGGCUGGUCACUACAUCUGCUCGGUCGCGUAAGGAAGAUAUCCGAUGAUAAGCGAGAUGCCCAAUGUAGUUUGGUCUAUCUUAAGUUACAGCAACAUGGAUUGUUUGUUGUACAUCUUACUAUGCUGAUGCACUUGCUUUUGAGUGGGGCUACAACCAUAUUUCUUACAGACAACUUCUAG
rnacentral:rRNA from 1 species